rnacentral:rRNA from 1 species
AUGCUUGCAUUUAACUGAUUUAACAUUGAGACGAGUGGCGAACUGGUGAGUAACACGUGGGUAACCUGCCCUUGAAGUAGGGGAUAACACUUGGAAACAGGUGCUAAUACCGUAUAACAACCAAAACCACCUGGUUUUGGUUUAAAAGAUGGCUUCGGCUAUCACUUUAGGAUGGACCCGCGGCGUAUUAGCUUGUUGGUAAGGUAACGGCCUACCAAGGCAAUGAUACGUAGCCGACCUGAGAGGGUAAUCGGCCACAUUGGGACUGAGACACGGCCCAAACUCCUACGGGAGGCAGCAGUAGGGAAUCUUCCACAAUGGACGAAAGUCUGAUGGAGCAACGCCGCGUGAGUGAUGAAGGGUUUCGGCUCGUAAAACUCUGUUGUUGGAGAAGAACAGGUGUGAGAGUAACUGUUCACAUCUUGACGGUAUCCAACCAGAAAGCCACGGCUAACUACGUGCCAGCAGCCGCGGUAAUACGUAGGUGGCAAGCGUUGUCCGGAUUUAUUGGGCGUAAAGCGAGCGCAGGCGGUUUCUUAGGUCUGAUGUGAAAGCCUUCGGCUUAACCGGAGAAGUGCAUCGGAAACCAGGAGACUUGAGUGCAGAAGAGGACAGUGGAACUCCAUGUGUAGCGGUGAAAUGCGUAGAUAUAUGGAAGAACACCAGUGGCGAAGGCGGCUGUCUGGUCUGUAACUGACGCUGAGGCUCGAAAGCAUGGGUAGCGAACAGGAUUAGAUAC